rnacentral:rRNA from 1 species
CCCUUAGAUGUUCUGGGCUGCACGCGCGCUACACUGAUGCGCUCAACGAGUUUUAACCUUGCCUGGAAAGGUUGGGUAAUCUUUUUAAAACGCAUCGUGAUGGGGAUAGAUUAUUGCAAUUAUUAAUCUUCAACGAGGAAUUCCUAGUAAGCGCGAGUCAUCAGCUCGUGCUGAUUACGUCCCUGCCCUUUGUACACACCGCCCGUCGCUCCUACCGAUUGAAUGUGUUGGUGAGGAGCUCGGAUUGGCAGCAGUUGGUGGUUCGCCACCGGCUAUUGCUGAGAAGUCCUCCAAACCGCCCCAUUUAGAGGAAGGAGAAGUCGUAACA